rnacentral:rRNA from 1 species
GUCUUCUUGAUAAUAUUUUGAAGUCUAGUCUGCUCACUGAUAAUUAUUUAAAUAGCCGCGGUAUUUUGACCGUGCAAAGGUAGCAUAAUCAUUAGUCUCUUAAUUAGGGGCUGGUAUGAAUGGCUUGACGAGAAAUUAACUGUCUCUUGAUAAAUUUUGAAAUUUAACUUUUUAGCUAAAAGGCUAAAAUUUUUUUUGAGGACGAGAAGACCCUAUAGAGCUUUACAUAUAAAUUUUAUAUAGGUUUUAGUUUAUUUAUUUAUAAAUAAUGAAUAUGUUUUGUUGGGGUGACAUAAAGAAUAAAUAAACUCUUUAUUAUAAAAUCAUUAAUUUAUGUUAAUUAUUGAUCCAUAAUUUAUGAUCAUAAGAUUAAGUUACCUUAGGGAUAACAGCGUAAUUAAUUUUGAGAGUUCAUAUUGACAAAUUAGAUUGCGACCUCGAUGUUGGAUUAAGAUAAAUUAUAGGUGUAGUAGUCUAUAAAUUAGGUCUGUUCGACCUUUAAAUUCUU